rnacentral:rRNA from 1 species
UUCCAGACUCCUACGGGAGGCAGCAGUGGGGAAUAUUGCGCAAUGGACGAAAGUCUGACGCAGCGACGCCGCGUGAGGGAUGAAGGUUUUCGGGUCGUAAACCUCUGUCAGGAGGGAAGAAAGCGUAUGGCGCCAAUCAGCCAUGCGUUGACGGUACCUCCAAAGGAAGCACCGGCUAACUCCGUGCCAGCAGCCGCGGUAAUACGGAGGGUGCGAGCGUUAAUCGGAAUCACUGGGCGUAAAGCGCUCGUAGGCGGUAUGUCAAGUCAAGGGUGAAAUCCCCGCGCUCAACGUGGGAACUGCCUUUGAAACUGGCAAACUGGAGUGUGUGAGAGGAUAGUGGAAUUCCAGGUGUAGGAGUGAAAUCCGUAGAUAUCUGGAGGAACAUCAGUGGCGAAGGCGACUAUCUGGCACAUAACUGACGCUGAGGAGCGAAAGCGUGGGUAGCAAACAGGAUUAGAUACCCGAGUA